GUAGGGUGCGAGCGUUAAUCGGAAUUACUGGGCGUAAAGCGAGCGCAGACGGUUAAAUAAGUCAGAUGUGAAAUCCCCGGGCUCAACUUGGGACGUGCAUUUGAAACUGUGUAACUAGAGUGUGUCAGAGGGAGGUAGAAUUCCACGUGUAGCAGUGAGGUGCGUAGAGAUGUGGAGGAAUACCGAUGGCGAAGGCAGCCUCCUGGGAUAACACUGACGUUCAUGCUCGAAAGCGUGGGUAGCAAACAGGAUUAGAUACCCUGGUAGUCCACGCCCUAAACGAUGACAAUUAGCUGUUGGGACACUAGAUGCCUCAGUAGCGAAGUAACGCGUGAAAUUGUCCGCCUGGGGAGUACGGUCGCAAGAUUA
rnacentral:rRNA from 1 species